ACGCUCGACACCUACGGGAGACAGCAGUGAGGAAUAUUGGUCAAUGGGCGCUAGCCUGAACCAGCCAAGUAGCGUGAAGGAUGAAGGCUCUAUGGGUCGUAAACUUCUUUUAUAUAAGAAUAAAGUGCAGUAUGUAUACUGUUUUGUAUGUAUUAUAUGAAUAAGGAUCGGCUAACUCCGUGCCAGCAGCCGCGGUAAUCUGAGCGGGCUGGCAAGGC
rnacentral:rRNA from 1 species